rnacentral:rRNA from 1 species
AUGUUGAAAUGCCAGCUGGUUGAAGAUGAGCUUAUCGACCAUGAGGUGAUGUCAGUCAUUAUCAGAAGGUAUUGUCAGUCUGACCAGGAAGCAGAUAAACACUCACCAUACUUAACUUGGAGGCACCCAAUUGAACCAGAAUUCUCGACGCUUGUACUAUUGGAUCAUGAUUUCCUACAUACGGUGUCAAUGCAGAAAGCAUUGUGUGCCGACUCACUCAAAUAUGACAUCACAUCAGCUCAGCUGUUCUUCACCCCCGUUCCACGGCCUAAAGGAUGGAUUGUAGUUUUCUGGGACAUGGUAGCCCGCCUCAUGUUUGUAAUUGAUCCAAUGUACAGCAAGAGAAGCCAACCCUUGACCACUCAGCAGAGAGAUGAGAUUACAGCUUGGAAGCUACAUGAUGCCUUGUUUAUUUGCUUAAAUGAGUAUUAUGCUGGCUGGCCUGUGAGGAAAGAUGGAUGGAAAGUCACGUUCCCCGCACUUGUUGAUAGCAUUUUUUCUCGUAAUGAGACUGGAGCUUGCGUCGUCCAUAUAGCCCGCCAUUUCGAUGGGAAAAAGCUGAAGAUGCCCCUCACCAAGGGUUUCCGACGAUGCGCAUUCAGUGGGAGGAGACGUUCCCGUCGACGACGAGGUGUCUACGGUGACUUCAUAAAUUUCAAAAUGAUAUGCCGGUUAAGUCUUUCGAAGGUGCUCAUAGGGGUAAGGUGUGCGUGUGUGCGUUUAUAG